GGGAGGCAGCAGUGGGGAAUAUUGCACAAUGGGCGCAAGCCUGAUGCAGCCAUGCCGCGUGUGUGAAGAAGGCCUUCGGGUUGUAAAGCACUUUCAGCGGGGAGGAAGGCGGUGAGGUUAAUAACCUCACGGAUUGACGUUACCCGCAGAAGAAGCACCGGCUAACUCCGUGCCAGCAGCCGCGGUAAUACGGAGGGUGCAAGCGUUAAUCGGAAUUACUGGGCGUAAAGCGCACGCAGGCGGUCUGUCAAGUCGGA
rnacentral:rRNA from 1 species